rnacentral:rRNA from 1 species
AACGAACGCUGGCGACAUGCCUAACACAUGCAAGUCGAACGAGAUCUUCGGGUCUAGUGGCGCACGGGUGCGUAACGCGUGGGAAUCUGCCCUUUGGUUCGGAAUAACAGUUGGAAACGACUGCUAAUACCGGAUGAUGACGAAAGCCCAAAGAUUUAUCGCCAGAGGAUGAGCCCGCGUAGGAUUAGCCAGUUGGUGUGGUAAAGGCGCACCAAGGCGACGAUCCUUAGCUGGUCUGAGAGGAUGAUCAGCCACACUGGGACUGAGACACGGCCCAGACUCCUACGGGAGGCAGCAGUGGGGAAUAUUGGACAAUGGGCGAAAGCCUGAUCCAGCAAUGCCGCGUGAGUGAUGAAGGCCUUAGGGUUGUAAAGCUCUUUUACCCGGGAUGAUAAUGACAGUACCGGGAGAAUAAGCUCCGGCUAACUCCGUGCCAGCCGCCGCCGUAA